UUGUUUGUUUGCUGACCAAAAGACUUUUUUUUUUUUUUUUUUUUUUUUUUUGUU
rnacentral:ribozyme from 14 species